GACGGAGGAUGCAAGUGUUAUCCGGAAUCACUGGGCGUAAAGCGUCUGUAGGUGGUCAAAUAAGUCAACUGUUAAAUCUUGAGGCUCAACCUCAAAAUCGCAGUCGAAACUAUUAGACUAGAGUAUAGUAGGGGUAAAGGGAAUUUCCAGUGGAGCGGUGAAAUGCGUAGAGAUUGGAAAGAACACCGAUGGCGAAGGCACUUUACUGGGCUAUUACUAACACUCAGAGACGAAAGCUAGGGUAGCAGAUGGG
rnacentral:rRNA from 1 species